GAGGCGGGACGGACAGCGGUACCCCCCCGUCCCCACACAGCGAGAGAGGAAAUCCCGGGGCUCACCCCCAGCCUGGACCGAAAGGGAAAACUUGAGUCAACUAUCGGAAUUAAGGUUGACAGUGACCAGAAAAGAAGAUGUUCUGCACACUACCUUUUAAUGAACUAAUCAACCACACGGUCUGAAAGGAUCCAGCCAGAAAUAUGCUAAACUGGUUACUUAAUUGUUUGGGGGGGGCAGGGGAGGCAGUACUGACACAUACAGCCUCCCUUUCAAGAUGGCUUAGGUUUAAGUCGCUAACAAAUGUCAAUUCUCCACUCAACUGUGGCUGCUAAUCUGUGGAGGACAAAAUUCAACCACAUGAAAGAAACUGAGCAACAGAGAAUAAGAUGUAAGAUCAAGAGGAAAUGCCGACAAACAGAAGGCAAUAUAACAUUGGGUCUCCAUCUGUGAGAGGAGUCCAGAGUGAGAGGAAACAAAUGAGAAUAAAAGGAAAAUAUAAAA